CCCUCUGUGGCCACCGACGGAAGUAAUUUUGCGGGAGGAAGUUUGCAAUUUUAACUCCUGAAAACAUUGCUAGAAGUAUGAAUGUUUCUGAAACAUGGCUAUUCAGUGGUUCCUCAUUAGCAUCACAUGUUCAUGCUGCUGCUGUUAAUGGACAUAAAAGAGCUCUCCUAAAACAAAUAUCAGCUUAAUUAUAAUCUCAUACUGGAAAAAAUCUUUGAAGUUACGGAGCAAAUGAACUCUAGGAUGAAAACCAAAGAUGAUAUUCCAGAUCUACAAACUGAUCCCCAAAUUUUAACUGACAUACAAUUCAAUGAGAUGGAGGAACCUUACCCACAACUUAAUUAUAAACGUAUACUGGAAAAAACCCUUGAAGCCACUGAGCAACUGAACAUCAGAUCAAAGCCUUUGCUCCAAAACUUCAAACUGAUCUCCAGACUCCAAUUUACUAUUUUAUAACUCAAAAAACAACAGAAGAGGAACAAAUCUAUACCAAAGAGGACAUUACACAAUCCUGCGUACAAUUCACUGAGAAUUUUGACGACCAAAGAAUGACUUUAACUAAAACACCUUUAACUUCAAAAGCUACAGGAAUUGAUCUGCAAAUACGAGUUACCGAGAGUUGUGAUAAUUUGGAUAACCAACUAGCAAUCACAACAUUGGACAAAAUUGAUUAUGUUACUCAGAUGGCAGUGGAACUACGAGAAGAGAAACAUGACCAGACUGAAUUGAUGAUAAACACCUCUAAUCAAACAUUGAGAUUUGAUGAUAUAGAGGCUCUUUUAUGGAAACCUGCUUGGCACAAAAAGAAAGCCAGAGUCAGAUUUAAAAAUGGGAUUUAAAACUUUACUUAAUGGGUUAAAAGGGCUUUUUAGAGACAUUGACUGAUUUAAUACUAACUGAGAUGGAAAUUAUUGACUAGAUUAUACUUUGGAAUUGUAACAUGGAAAAGGUUUUAAAUAAGGAGUUAUUAGGAUAAGAAAUAAUAUAUAUAUAUCUGAAAUAUAGUAAGAAGAUACCCUUUGGAAUAACAUGUUUGUUUUAGGUAUGGUAACUACUCUGAUGGGAUUUAAAUUUUACUUAAUUGGCUAAAAAGGCUUUUUAAAGAUAUGGAGUGACUUAAUGUUUAGGAUCUAAACCUAUAACCGAGAUGAAAACUACUGGUUAGAUUAUAGUUUCGAAUUAUAAUAUGAAAAAGGUUUUAAAUGAAGAAUUAUUAGGAUAAGAAAUAGAAUAUAUUUGUGAAAUAGAGUAAGAAUGUAUUUUUUUGGAAUAAUACUGCUAUUUUCGGUAUGAUAAUUACUUUGUAAUGGAAUAAGAAUAAGAAAAUGGAUUGUGACAAUGGAAGACAUGGCAUUACUAAAUGAGUUAUUAGAAUAAGAAAUAGAAUAUAUUUGGGAAAGGUAAGAAUAUAACUGUUGGGAUAAUAUGCUUAUCUUAGACAUUAUAACCAUCAUGUUAUGAAACGAGGUAAAUUAGGGAUACCCGAAAUGUAAACAAUAUGUUUAUUUAAGGCUAAAUUAGAAUACAGUAAUUGGAAGUUAGUAAAGCUUAAAAACAGGAUUUGGACUUGUAUAGGUAAAAUAUUAUUGAUAAUACUCUUGAUUGAUUGAAGUUUAUUUAGAAAUGUAUUAAUUUGAAUAUGUUAUAUUAAUUGAGGAAAAUAGAGAGGGAACUUUUAAGGAGUUAACCUGACCUAUAUGUGUAUAACUUUGUUUUUUGCAUAACUGAUUACCCCAU